rnacentral:rRNA from 1 species
AGGACGAACGCUGGCGGCACGCUUAACACAUGCAAGUCGAACGGAGUAAUGGAGCUUGCUUGAUAACUAGUGGCGGACGGGUGAGUAACACGUGAGCAACCUGCCUUUAAGAGUGGAAUAGCUUCUGGAAACGGAUGGUAAUACCGCAUAACAUUGCCGGACCGCAUGAUCUGGCAAUCAAAGAUUUAUCGCUUAAAGAUGGGCUCGCGUCUGAUUAGAUAGUUGGUGGGGUAACGGCCUACCAAGUCGACGAUCAGUAGCCGGACUGAGAGGUUGAACGGCCACAUUGGGACUGAGACACGGCCCAGACUCCUACGGGAGGCAGCAGUGGGGAAUAUUGCACAAUGGGCGGAAGCCUGAAUGCAGCGAUGCCGCGUGGAGGAAGAAGGUUUUCGGAUUGUAAACUCCUUUUAUCAGGGACGAUAAUGACGGUACCUGAAGAAAAAGCUCCGGCUAACUACGUGCCAGCAGCUGC